rnacentral:rRNA from 1 species
CGCGUAGGUGGUUUGUUAAGUUGGAUGUGAAAGCCCCGGGCUCAACCUGGGAACUGCAUCCAAAACUGGCAAGCUAGAGUACGGUAGAGGGUGGUGGAAUUUCCUGUGUAGCGGUGAAAUGCGUAGAUAUAGGAAGGAACACCAGUGGCGAAGGCGACCACCAGGACUGAUACUGACACUGAGGUGCGAAAGCGUGGGAGCAAACA